ensembl:lncRNA B4GALT4-AS1 B4GALT4 antisense RNA 1
ACGCACAGAAAGAAACAGAAGGGGCCAGGAAGCCUCCGGGGAAAUCUGAGGGCAGUCAUUGGCUAACAUGGAAGGGCUCACAAAACAGGCUUCCUCCAGAGGUUCCUUUAAGGGCAGUAAAAUUUCCCAGAACUUGAACCCAUAACUCCACACUCUGAGACAAGAAUUUCCUCUACUCCUUUCAAGGAUAAAUGAGGCAAGAAAGCUUCAAGUUGAGCUUUUCCAAUCUGAUUGCGAACUUGAUGACAACUGAAGAUACAAUGCCUGGUUUUUCUCAGUAGUUCUGCUCCAACAGUCUAAAACGCAAUCACAAAAGACACGUUGUUUCAAAUGGAAAUUCUAUCCUGAAGUGAUUCACUCCAGCACAAACUGAAAACCCAUCCCCGAUGGACCUUGACUAACCGUAAUGAUCUCAAUGUCUGCAAUUUCCUGUCAAAUAUGAGAACAACAUCCCAAAGUGGGAGAACAGAUGAAACAAGACGGAUAAAAUACUGAGAAGUCUUGAAUAUAAGUGAUAGGAGAGAAGGUUGUUACCAUCCUUGGU